rnacentral:sRNA from 1 species
AUUCUGCCCAUGCGGGGAAGGAUGAGAAGCUUCGACCAAGGUUCGACUCGAGCGCCAGCGAGAGAGCGUUGCCGCAGGCAACGACCCGAAGGGCGAAGCGCGCAGCGCUGAGUAAUCCUUCCCCCACCA